GAUGAACGCUGGCGGCGUGCCUAAUACAUGCAAGUCGAGCGAACAGACGAGGAGCUUGCUCCUCUGACGUUAGCGGCGGACGGGUGAGUAACACGUGGAUAACCUACCUAUAAGACUGGGAUAACUUCGGGAAACCGGAGCUAAUACCGGAUAAUAUAUUGAACCGCAUGGUUCAAUAGUGAAAGACGGUUUUGCUGUCACUUAUAGAUGUAUCCGCGCCGCAUUAGCUAGUUGGUAAGGUAACGGCUUACCAAGGCAACGAUGCGUAGCCGACCUGAGAGGAUGAUCGGCCACACUGGAACUGAGACACGGUCCAGACUCCUACGGGAGGCAGCAGUAGGGAAUCUUCCGCAAUGGGCGCAAGCUUGACGGAGCAACGCCGCGUGAGUGAUGAAGGUCUUCGGAUCGUAAAACUCUGUUAUUAGGAAAGAACAAAUGUGUAAGUAACUAUGCACGUCUUGACGGUACCUAAUCAGAAAGCCCCGGCUAACUACGUG
rnacentral:rRNA from 1 species